rnacentral:rRNA from 1 species
UACAGAGGGGGCAAGCGUUGUUCGGAAUUACUGGGCGUAAAGGGCGCGUAGGCGGCCUGCUAAGUCGAACGUGAAAUCCCUGGGCUCAACCCAGGAACUGCGUCCGAUACUGGUUGGCUUGAAUCCGGGAGAGGGACGUGGAAUUCCCGGUGUAGCGGUGAAAUGCGCAGAUAUCGGGAGGAACACCUAUGGCGAAGGCAGCUCGCUGGGACGGUACUGACGCUGAGACGCGAAAGCGUGGGGAGCAAACAGG